rnacentral:snRNA from 1 species
UAACUUACCUGGCCGGGGAGAUACCAUGAUCACGAAGGUGGUUUUCCCAGGGCGAGGCUUAUCCAUUGCACUCCAGAAGUGCUGACCCCUGCGAUUUCCCCAAAUGUGGGAAACUCGACUGCAUAAUUUGUGUUAGUUGGGGGACUGCGUUCGCACUCUCCCA